rnacentral:rRNA from 1 species
AUUGAACGCUGGCGGCAGGCCUAACACAUGCAAGUCGAACGAGUGGCGGACGGGUGAGUAAUGUCUGGGAAACUGCCCGAUGGCGGGGGCUAACUACUGGAAACGGUAGCUAAUACCGCAUACCAUCGGAUGUGCCAAGAUGGGAUUAGCUAGUAGGUGGGGUAAAGGCUCACCUAGGCGACGAGCCCUAGCUGGUCUGAGAGGAUGACCAGCCACACGGGAACGGAGACACGGUCCAGACUCCUACGGGAGGCAGCAGGGGGGAAUAUCGCACAAUGGGCGCAAGCCUGAUGCAGCCAGGCCGCGUGUAUGAAGAGGGCCUUCGGGUUGUAAAGUACUUUCAGCGGGGAGGCGUUACCCGCAGAAGAAGCACCGGCUAACUCCGUGCCAGCAGCCGCGGUAAUAC